rnacentral:rRNA from 1 species
CCUACGGGGGGCAGCAGUGAGGAAUAUUGGUCAAUGGUCGGGAGACUGAACCAGCCAAGCCGCGUGAGGGAUGAAGGUACAGAGUAUCGUAAACCUCUUUUGUCAGGGAAUAAAGGCGGGGACGUGUCCCCGGAUGAGUGUACCUGAAGAAAAAGCAUCGGCUAACUCCGUGCCAGCCGCCGCGGUAAUACGGAGGGUGCGAGCGUUUUCCGGAUUUAUUGGGUGUAAAGUGUGCGCAGGCGGUUUGUUAAGUCCGCGGUGAAAGCCCCGGGCUCAACCCCGGCCCCGCCGGUGAAACUGGCAGUCUCGAGUUGGAGAGAGGUAUGCGGAAUGCGCGGUGUAGCGGUGAAAUGCAUAGAUAUCGGGAAGAACUCCGAUUGCGAAGGCAGCAUUCCGGCUCCACACUGACGCUGAGGCACGAAAGCGUGGGUAUCGAACAGGAUUAGAUACCCGAGUAGUC